UGGCGGCGUGCCUAAUACAUGCAAGUCGAACGCACUCUCGUUUAGUAUUGAAGGAGCUUGCUCCUGAUUGAAUAAACUAUUUGAGUGAGUGGCGGGACGGGUGAGUAACACGUGGGUAACCUGACCCUAAAGGUGGGGGGAUAACAUUUGGAAACAGAUGCUAAUACCGCAUAAAACCCAACACCGCAUGGUGUAGGGUUGAAAGAUGGUUUCGGCUAUCACUUUAGGAUGGACCCGCGGUGCAUUAGUUAGUUGGUGAGGUAAAGGCUCACCAAGACCGUGAUGCAUAGCCGACCUGAGAGGUAAUCGGCCACACUGGGACUGAGACACGGCCCAGACUCCUACGGGAGGCAGCAGUAGGGAAUCUUCCACAAUGGACGAAAGUCUGAUGGAGCAACGCCGCGUGAGUGAAGAAGGUUUUCGGAUCGUAAAACUCUGUUGUUGGAGAAGAAUGUAUCUGAUAGUAACUGAUCAGGUAGUGACGGUAUCCAACCAGAAAGCCACGGCUAACUACGUG
rnacentral:rRNA from 1 species